CCAAAAAUCAUCAAACAAGCCAAAUGCAUGUAAGGAUGCUUUAGGUCGUUUACGUGUUGGUGCUGCUAUCGGUGCUGGCGCAGGUAACGAGGAGAGAGCAAAGGCAUUAGUAGAGGCUGGAGGACUCCCUUAACUUAAGCAUAUCAAUAAGGGAAGGAAGAGAAAAUAACAAUGAUUUCUUGAGUAAUGGCGAAUGAAAAAGAAUUAGGCCGAGUUGGUAAAGACGGUAUUCGGUAACGCUUGGGUUCUUCGGGAUCUUUGCACGGGUAUCGUGGUGUAACCGAGAACGGGACGAUUCAACCGCGAAGUUUGGCGUGAACAGCCUGGAAAGGGUGGCCAAGGAGAGUGAAAGCCUCGUAAACGCUGAGCCGAGUGAAAAAAAUUGUUCCGGGAAAAGAGUAAAUUUAUUUGGAAGUAUAGAUUGAAUAGGUGAUAGUAUUCAUCAAAGCCUAAAUAUUACAGGAAAACCGAUAGCGAAGAAGUACUGUGAAGGAAAACUCAAAAGAACUUUGAAAAAAGAGUGAAAAGAGCUUGAAA
rnacentral:rRNA from 1 species